rnacentral:tRNA from 1 species
GAUAGCUCAGUGGUAGAGCGGGCGGCUGUUAACCGCUAGGUCGUAGGUUCGAAUCCUUCUC